rnacentral:rRNA from 1 species
UACGGAGGAUGCAAGCGUUAUCCGGAAUUACUGGGCGUAAAGGGCUCGUAGGUGGCCAACUAAGUCGGACGUGAAAUCCCUCAGCUUAACUGGGGAACUGCGUCCGAUACUGGAUGGCUUGAGUUUGGGAGAGGGAUGCGGAAUUCCAGGUGUAGCGGUGAAAUGCGUAGAUAUCAGGAGGAACACCAAUGGCGAAGGCAGCACUCUGGGACGUGACUGACGCUGAGACGCGAAAGCGUGGGGAGCAAACAGG